UAACCCACGGAGCGAGGCCGGGGAUCGAACCUGCAACCUCAUGGAUGCUAGUCAGGUUUGUUACUGCUGAGCCACAAUGGGAACUCCUAAUUUGUUUCUUAUAUCACGGGUGCCCUCUGGUCUCUGACUAGAGCCUCUAGCAAAACCACUGUAAAAGUCAAGAGAUACUGCAGUUUCCACUGUGGCUCAGUGGGGUAAGGAUCUGACUGCAGCGGCUCAGGUCGCUGUGGAGGCACGGGUUCAGUCCCUGGCCGGAGUGGGUUAAAGGAUCUGGCAUUGCUGCAGCUGCAGUUCGGAUUCAGUCCCUGGCCAGGAACUUUCAUGUGCCGCGGGCGCAGCCAUUAAAAAAAAGUCAAACGACAUUGGCACGUUGCCAGAGCCAGCCCAGUCCAUCACCCUGCGUGAGAAUGUCCCCAGGGCGAGGCCACACAGGAGCGGGCCUCACGAUGCGGUCAGAUUCCAAAACAGGAGUGCACGGGGCCCCGGCCCGCCUCUCAGGCCCUGGUGUAUGUGAGCUGUGGGACGCCCUUGUCCCCAGCCUCUUUUGGGCACCGACUCCCUUCCUUCCAGCACGAGCCCACGGGCCCACCCCCUGACCCUUCACCUGCUGCCCACCUCCUCCGUGUGCACCCAGAUUCCCGCCCGCGGGAUGGGUAGCAGGUUCACACGGAGCCGGUCUAGACUGCAGGCCGCCUUGUGCACCCAGAGGGUGCCUGCCCUCAGCCCGCUUCCGUCCACGCGGGUGCCGGGCUCGUGGGCUCUCCGACCCCCGGGGGACGCCGCUGCUCCUGCUGUCGGCCCCAGGUUCGCACAGGGGGGCGGGGGCAGUACCCCCCCCACCUCUUCAGGCCCCGACGUCAGGUUCACAGACAGUGACAGUUUCUCGCCCGAGGUCAUCUCUGCUUCUGGCCCUUGUAGCUGCAGACCUGGUCAUUUUGGGCAUUUUCUUGGUGGUUGUUUUUUUUUCUUGCUUUUUUAGGGCCGCACCUGCAGCAUAAGGAAAUGUGGAAGUUGCCAGGCUAGGGGCCGAAUCGGAGCUACAGCUGCCAGCUUGGCCCUGUCCACUCGUGCGGGGUGGGCGCCCUGCGGCCCGUCUCAGCCUCUCAGACCUGCGCUCAGGAGGGCAGCUCUGCCCGUGGCUGGGCGUGAGGCGCGGUCCAGCGAGUGCCUCGUGCUGAGGAAACGAUGGUCGGCCGCCCAGACGCAACACGUCUCUUCCCGUCUGCUCACCGCUUCUGAGCCUCUGCGUCCAGGGAGAUGCGUCCUGAGGAAUUGGCUCUCGUGGUUUUGGAGGCUGGGAAUAAUCUGCUGUCUGCAUGAGGAGACCCAGGACGGCCGGCGUGGUGAUGUCAUCUGGUCUGCGUCUGGAGGCGUGAGACCCGGGGGGCGGAUGGGGGGAACCCCAGUCUGAGAGAGGAGGGGCUGGGCUGAGCUGUGCCAGGUCGGAGUGGGGGGGGCGCAGGAGAAAGGCACGUGUCUCCCCCGCCACGCGGCCUUGUGUUCUGUCCAGGCCUCAGUGGCUGGACGGGGCCCACCCACUCGGGGAGGCCCACCUGCUCCACUGCGUCCACCUGGAAACACGCCCCGGCUCCCCCAGAAGUGAAGUCCCAUCUGCGGCCCGCGAGGGUCACGCUGACACAGAGGUGAACGUUACGGACGCCUGCUUUGUGGGGGGGGGGUAGUGGUUGUUCCCCCUGGACGUAGCCCUCCUGCUGGAUUCGGAUCUGCUCCCCGCCGGCACCAGCGCUUUCCUUACUGACUUAAAGCCUAAUUUACUCUCCCGGCUCCUCACGGGUCCUUUUUGGCCGAGGAGCGACUUCCCAGCCAGAGGAACCAAGGAAAGGUGGCAUCAUUAAGGACCACGGGGACAGCGCUGUGACACCGGCACUGUGUCCUGCAGGCGAUGCUAGUCAAUGGCGCUGUUUCCCCCAAAUCAGGGUACGGGGGCGGGGGGCGCAUGUCAUUAGAACCAAUGAGCCAUUCUCAACAGUCUGCCCCUCGCCCGGCAGGUCCUGCGCUCCUGGUUGGGACGUUUUGUGACCGGCAACACGAUGCUUUGAACAAA